AACGAACGCUGGCGGCAGGCUUAACACAUGCAAGUCGAGCGCCGUAGCAAUACGGAGCGGCGGACGGGUGCGUAACGCGUGGGAACAUGCCCUUUGGUUCGGAAUAACUCAGGGAAACUUGAGCUAAUACCGGAUAAGCCCUCGGAGCGAUCCGUGGGGAAAGAUUUAUCGCCGAAGGAUUGGCCCGCGUCCGAUUAGCUUGUUGGUGAGGUAACGGCUCACCAAGGCGACGAUCGGUAGCUGGUCUGAGAGGAUGAUCAGCCACACUGGGACUGAGACACGGCCCAGACUCCUACGGGAGGCAGCAGUGGGGAAUAUUGGACAAUGGGCGCAAGCCUGAUCCAGCCAUGCCGCGUGAGUGAUGAAGGCCUUAGGGUUGUAAAGCUCUUUCGCCAGGGACGAUAAUGACGGUACCUGGAGAAGAAGCCCCGGCCAACUUCGUGCCAGCAGCCGCCGUAACAC
rnacentral:rRNA from 1 species